AUUGAACGCUGGCGGCAGGCCUAACACAUGCAAGUCGAGCGAGCGGCGGACGGGUGAGUAAUGUCUGGGAAACUGCCUGAUGGAGGGAGAUCACUACUGGAAAGGGUAGCUAAUCACGCAUACCAUCGGAUGUGCACAGAUGGGGUUAGCUAGUAGGUGGGGUAACGGCUCACCUAGGCGACGAGCCGUAACUGGUCUGAGAGGAUGAUCAGUCUCACUGGAACUGAGACACGGUCCAGACUCCUACGGGAGGCAGCAGUGGGGAAUAUUGGACAAUGGGCGAAAGCCUGAUGCAGCCAUGCCGCGUGUGUGAAGAAGGUCUUCGGAUUGUAAAGCUCUUUAAGUUGGGAGGCGUUACCAACAGAAUAAGCCCCGGCUAACUUCGUGCCAGCAGCCGCGGUAAUAC
rnacentral:rRNA from 1 species